rnacentral:rRNA from 1 species
AGUGGAUGGGGAGCAACCUAGUUGUGCGUGUGUAAAGGUAGUGCCAAGAAAAGCGAUGAUCAUGUUGAAAAUCAAUUCCCGGUACCCGAAACCGACACAGGUGGGCAAGUAGAGAAUACUAAGGGGCGCGAGGUAACUCUCUCCAAGGAACUCGGCAAAAUGACCCCGUAACUUAGGGAGAAGGGGUGCCACCGAGAGGUGGUCGCAGUGAAGAGGCCCAGGCGACUGUUUAGCAAAAACAUAGGUCUCUGCAAACUCGAAAGAGGAGGUAUAGGGGCUGACGCCUGCCCAGUGCCGGAAGGUUAAAGAAGUUGGUCAGUUUUAGGAUGAAGCUAGCGACUGAAGCCCCGGUGAACGGCGGCCGUAACUAUAACGGUCCUAAGGUAGCGAAAUUCCUUGUCGGGUAAGUUCCGACCCGCACGAAAGGCGUAACGAUCUGGGCGCUGUCUCGGAGAGAGGCUCGGCGAAAUAGGAUUGUCUGUGAAGAUACGGACUACCUGCAUUUGGACAGAAAGACCCUAUGAAGCUUUACUAUAGCUUGGAAUUGUGUUCGGGCUUCCUGUGCGCAGGAUAGGUGGGAGGCGAAGAAGGUAUUCUUGUGGGGAUACUGGAGCCAACGGUGAGAUACCACUCUCAGGAGGCUAGAAUUCUAACUUAAUUAAGGACAGUUUCAGGUGGUAGUUUGACUGGGGCGGUCGCCUCCAAAAAGGUAACGGAGGCGUACAAAGGUUCCCUCAGACUGGUUGGAAAUCAGUCGCAGAGUGCAAAGGCAGAAGGGAGCUUGACUGCGAGAAGUACAGUUCGAGCAGGGUGGAAACACGGUCUUAGUGAUCCGACGGUGCUGUGUGGAAGGGCCGUCGCUCAACGGAUAAAAGUUACUCUAAGGAUAACAGGCUGAUCUCCCCCAAGAGUUCACAUCGACGGGGAGGUUUGGCACCUCGAUGUCGGCUCAUCGCAACCUGGGGCGGAAGUACGUCCCAAGGGUUGGGCUGUUCGCCCAUUAAAGCGGUACGUGAGCUGGGUUCAGAACGUCGUGAGACAGUUCGGUCCAUAUCCGAUGUAGGCGUGAGAAUAUUGAGAGGAGCCUUCCUUAGUACGAGAGGACCGGGAAGGACGCACCGCUGGUGUACCUGUUAUGAUGCCAAUUGUAAACGCAGGGUAGCCAAGUGCGGAGAGGAUAACCGCUGAAAGCAUCUAAGUGGGAAGCCCACCUCAAGAUGAGUAUUCUGGUGUAAGGUCACGGGAAGACGACCCGUAAAUAGGCACGAGGUGGAAGUGCAGAGAUGUAUGAAGCCGAAGUGUACUAAUAGACCGUCGGCUUGAC